rnacentral:rRNA from 1 species
UACGUAGGGGGCAAGCGUUGUCCGGAAUCAUUGGGCGUAAAGAGCGUGUAGGCGGCUCGAUAAGUCCGCUGUGAAAGUCCAGGGCUCAACCCUGGAAGGCCGGUGGAAACUGUCGGGCUAGAGUCCGGAAGAGGCGAGUGGAAUUCCCGGUGUAGCGGUGAAAUGCGCAGAUAUCGGGAGGAAUACCGAUGGCGAAGGCAGCCCCCUGGGAUAACACUGACGCUCAUGCACGAAAGCGUGGGGAGCAAACAGG